UAAGGUGUUUCAGGCACGCAGAUUCAAUUUUCUGCCACCGAAUACAUUAGCAUGGGAUAAUGGAAUAGGACCCUGUCCUCCUAUUUUCAGUUGGUUUUGGCAGCGCGAGGACUAGGGUAAUGAUUAAUAGGGAUAGUUGGGGGCAUUAAUAUUUAAUUGUCAGAGGUGAAAUUCUUGGAUUUAUGAAAGAUUAACUUCUGCGAAAGCAUCUGCCAAGGAUGUUUUCAUUAAUCAAGAACGAAAGUUAGGGGAUCGAAGACGAUCAGAUACCGUCGUAGUCUUAACCAUAAACGAUGCCGACCAGCGAUUAGGAGACGUUGAAUACAAAACACCACCAUCGGCGCGGUCGUCCUUGGCGCGUUCGUGUUCACGCACGGGCGCGCGAGGGCGGCUUAGCCCGGUGGCACCGGUGAAUGACUCCCCUAGCAGCUUUUGUGAGAA
rnacentral:rRNA from 1 species